rnacentral:rRNA from 1 species
CGGUUUUCGGAAUUACUGGGCGUAAGCGCACGCAGGCGGUUUGUUAAGUCAGAUGUGAAAUCCCCGGGCUCAACCUGGGAACUGCAUCUGAUACUGGCAAGCUUGAGUCUCGUAGAGGGGGGUAGAAUUCCAGGUGUAGCGGUGAAAUGCGUAGAGAUCUGGAGGAAUACCGGUGGCGAAGGCGGCCCCCUGGACGAAGACUGACGCUCAGGUGCGAAAGCGUGGGGAGCAAACAGGAUUAGAUACCCUGGUAGUCCACGCCGUAAACGAUGUCGACUUGGAGGUUGUGCCCUUGAGGCGUGGCUUCCGGAGCUAACGCGUUAAGUCGACCGCCUGGGGAGUACGGCCGCAAGGUUAAAACUCAAAUGAAUUGACGGGGGCCCGCACAAGCGGUGGAGCAUGUGGUUUAAUUCGAUGCAACGCGAAGAACCUUACCUGGUCUUGACAUCCACGGAAAGUUUUCAGAAAUGAGAAUGUGCCUUCGGGAACCGUGAAAACAGGUGCUGCAUGGCUGUC